rnacentral:rRNA from 1 species
UACGAAGGGGGCUAGCGUUGUUCGGAUUUACUGGGCGUAAAGCGCACGUAGGCGGAUCUUUAAGUCAGAGGUGAAAUCCCAAGGCUCAACCUUGGAACUGCCUUUGAUACUGGGGAUCUUGAGUCCGGGAGAGGUGAGUGGAACUGCGAGUGUAGAGGUGAAAUUCGUAGAUAUUCGCAAGAACACCAGUGGCGAAGGCGGCUCACUGGCCCGGUACUGACGCUGAGACGCGAAAGCGUGGGGAGCGAACAGG